rnacentral:rRNA from 1 species
UACGGGGGGGGGUAAGCGUUGUUCGGAAUUACUGGGCGUAAAGGGCUCGUAGGCGGCCAACUAAGUCAGACGUGAAAUCCCUCAGCUUAACUGGGGAACUGCGUCUGAUACUGGAUGGCUUGGAUUUGGGAGAGGGAUGCGGAAUUCCAGGUGUAGCGGUGAAAUGCGUAGAUAUCUGGAGGAACACCGGUGGCGAAGGCGGCAUCCUGGACCAAUACUGACGCUGAGGAGCGAAAGCCAGGGGAGCAAACGGG